rnacentral:lncRNA from 1 species
GCCAAUCAGCGGAAGCCGCCGGGGCCGCCUAGAGAAGAGGCUGUGCUUCGGCGCUCCGGCUCCUCAGAGAGCCUCGGCUAGGUGUGGAAACAGGAAGAGAACUAGAACUGGAAGUAAAGCAUUGAAGAUGUGACUGAAUUGCUGCAAUCUCAUGAUCAAAUUUGAAUGGAUGAGGAGUUGCUUUUUAGGGAUGAGCAAAGAAAGUGGUUUCUCGAGAUGGAAUCUACUGGUGAAGUUGCUGUGAACAUUGUUAAAAUGCCAAUAAAGGAUUUAGGAAUUACAGAAACCUGGUUGAUAAAGCAGUGCCAGGGUGUGAGAGAGUUGACUUCAAUUUUGAAAUAAGUUCCACUGGCUGGGUGUGGUGGCUCACACCUGCAAUCCCAGUACUUUAGGAGGCCGAGACUGGUAGAUCAUUUGAGGUCAGGAGUUCAAGACCAGCCUUGCCAACAUGGUGAAACCCCACCUCUACCAAAUUAGCCAGGUGUGGUGCACACCUGUAGUCCCAGCUACUUGGGAAGCUGAGGCAGGAGAAUCUCUUGAACCAGGGAGGAGGAGGUUGCAGUAAGCCGAGAUGGCGCCCCUGCACUCCAGCCUGGGUGACAGAGUGAGACCUUGCGUUUAAAAAAAAAAAAAAAGGAAAAGGAAAAAAAAGUUCUACUGUGGGUAAAAUGCUAUCAUGCUAUCAAACAGCAUCACAUGCUACAGAGAAGUCUUGUGAAAGGAUGUCAGUGUGGCAAACUUCAUUGUCUUUUAAGAAAUUGCCACAGCUAUCGUAAUCUUCAACCACCACCACCCUGAUGAGUCAGUAGCCAUCGUUAACGUUGGCGUAAGACCCUCCACCAGCAAAAAGAUUGUUAGCAUUUUUUUAGCAGUGAUGUAUUUAUCAAUUAUACAUAAUGCUAUUGUACACUUCUUAAUAGACUAUGGUAUAGUGUAACCAUAAUUUAUGCACUGGGAAACCAACAAAUUCAUGAGAUUCGCUUUAUUGUAGUGCUCUGGAAUUGAGCCUGCCGUGUUUCUGAGGUAUACCUGUGUAUUUAGUAUGUUCCUUGUAUAUAAAACCCCAUUUUAUAGGGUAGGAAACUAAGGCUUAGAGUUUGAGCAAUUUUCCCAUAGAUAACACCAAUAAAUUGAGGGCUGCAGAGACCACUUAAGUGGUUCUCUUAACAGUAGUCUAGACAUGACGUAAUGAGAUUUGGCUUAGGAGUGACAAUGGUAAGGAAGUUAAAGGAUUCAGGAACCAAAUACCAGUUAUUGAGAAGAAAGAAUGGCCUCAAAACAUCACUUCUCAAGGAAGCCUUGAUACCCUCACCCUUACUACACUGUAUCCUCCAUUUGAAUGUUGUCAAGAGCUCUUCUCACAAUUGUAAAUAAUAAUUGUGUAAUUUUGUUUUUUUUUUCCUACUUUAGGUUGCUCCUUGAGGGCAGGACAGUUCUUAUGGCUUUAUCCGUUGCGUAAGCACAGAGAGGUCUGCGAGGUCAAAACUAUUGUCAUGAUAGCAAGAUGCCUGUCUUUUUCAUUUAUUCUCACGGUGUGCAGAGGCUACAUGAUGUGUGAUGACAUCCUCAUUGAUGUUAAUGAAUGGUGCUAUACUUGAAUUUUCUAAGGUGUCAUUAGGUAGGUUUAGGUAUGCAUACUUGUUUUUAGAAAUUAUUUUUUUCCUUUUUCCCAUUUUUAGAAAUCAACUCAUUUUUUAGGUUAUGCCUUCAGUAAUCUUUGCAACCUCAAUAUUGUGUAAUGGUUACUUUAAAAUACUGUAGUUUUCUUUGUGCCUAAGUAUAAACAUAAGUACAUUUUGUUGUUUUGUUUGCAAUAGUGGUUUAAAUAUUUUCCCAAAAUAUCCAAAUUUAAAAAUUCUACAACUUUAGAAUUUAAUAAAUUUAUUCUAAAAUAUUUAUAUAUUUUUUCAUUUAAGAAUGGAUCGGCUUAAAAAGACUGCUUCUCAUUUACUUACUGGCUAUACCAUCUGUAUACUAAUAAAAAACAAGAUUUGAUUUGGAAGGACUGACUCAAACUAACGAAAAUAUGAAACCUGUCUUUCUGCUUUGGAGAUAUUUACCUAAUCAUGUUCUGCAGUAGAAUAAUUUAGUUCUUUUGUCUUUUUUUGGAGAUGAGGUCUUGCUGUGUUGCCCAGGCUAUUCACAGCUGCCAUCAUAGUGAACUACAGCCUGAAACUCCUGGGUUCAAGAGAUCCUUCUGCCUCAGCCUCCUGAGUAGCUGGAACUAUAGGCAUGCGCCACCAAGCCUGGGCUUUUAAAAAAAUUUUAAAAAGAAUUUUGAGACAGGAUCUUGCCAUGUUGCUCAGGCUAGUCUUCAACUCCUAGCCCUGAGUGAUCUUGCUUUGGGCCUCUCAAAAUGUUGAGUUAAUAGGCGUGAGCCACCAUACCCAGCCAAAAAUUUUUUUAGAGAUGGGAAUGGAAUGAUCUUGAAUAGUGUUGGUGCCACCUAUGUUGUGGCAUCAUUUUGAAACCAAUCAUUCAGAGUGCUUUUUUUGGUAAGGCAUUAUUUUUUAAUGCAGGUAUGCCACUACUGGGAAAAAAAAAAAAACAGGUUUUAAAGCUAGAAAUGAAAAGCUACUUAAGUAUCUUAAAGGAUAAGUUACUUUAUUAUACACUAGAAACAUACACAAUAGCUGAAAAACUUAAAAAAUCUCACACUGCUGAAUGUCUCUGCUGGCUGAAGUGUAAGUAAAAGAUCAUAGUAGUGCCGCUGUUGAGUGAUAAAGCAACUUGUCAUUAAAGAUGUGUGUGCAGACAUGGAUUCUGAGUUAAUAUCUCAUCUGUAGAAGUAUAUAUUUGUCCCUUGCUUUGGGAUUGGUUUCUGGACAGCACUCCCCCACCCUUGCUGGCCAUUUGCCAAGGACACCAAAACCCAAGGAUGUUGAAUUCCCUUUUAUAAAAUGGCGCUGUAUCUGCAUACAACUUACACACAUCCUCCCAUAUACUUUAAAUCAUUUCCAGAUUUCUUAUACUUCAUACAAUGUGAAUGCUAUAUAAAUAGUUGUUACAUUGUGUACUUAUAUUUGUACUAUUGUAUUAAAUAUUCUCAAAUAUUUUCAAGCACAUUUGGUUGAAUCUGCAGAUGCAGAACCUGAGGAUAUGGAGGGCUGACUGUGCUAAUACGUUAUCAAUGGAUGCGUGCAUAAACAUGGCUGGACUUGUUACUUGGCUUGUAUUUGCCAGGCAUCAGCACCAACUAGUUAAAGAUACUCUUACGUGAAAGCUUGGCAACAAACACAUGUCCUGAAAUAAUGCAAGUGUAGAAUAACUUUUUAAAAUCUCAUGGUUUAUGCUAAACUAUAUGUUGACAUAAGAGUGGUGAUAAGGCAACAGUAGGUAAAAGUAAAAUUUCAGGCACCUUGGCACAAACUGUGGCAGUGGCAUCAAACUCUAAGUUAUUUUUCACUGCCAUGCAUUUGUGGUGUGAACCCCCACAAAAGAAAAAAACCAGUUUCACUCAAGAAUGUCCUUGUGAAAGCAGUGACAUUUUGUUAAAUCUUAAACCCUACAGUACAUAACUUUUUGAAAUGGUUGUCUCAAGAAAAAGCACUCAUGUAAGCUGAAUUAUCUGCUAUUUCCUUGGAGCCUAACAACUGACAGCAAUUGUUUUCAAUGAUAAAAUCCAAACGUUGAGUCAAAAUCAGAAUUUCGGGAAAACUUGUGUCUAAUAUCAGGAACUUGACAGCUUCCCAAUACUUCAUGAGAUAGUGAUAUUGAAAAUAAUUUUUUUUUUUUUUUGGGACAUCUGGCUGACUGCAACCUCUGUCUCCUGGGUUCAAGCAAUUCUCCUGCCUCAGCCUCCUGCAUAACUGGGACUACAGGUGUGUACCACUGUACCCGGCUAAUUUUUGUAUUUUUAGUAGAGAUGGGGUUUCACCAUGUUGGCCAGGGUGGUCUUGAACUCCUGACCUCAGGUGAUCCACCUUGGCCUCCCAAAGUGCUAGGAUUACAGGUUUAAGCCACUGUGCCCGGCCAAUGAUAUUUUAGGUAGUAUACAGUAAAAUGGGCCAACAUUUGGGAGAUUGACAUAACUCAGUGAAGCUAUAUUUUCCUAAUGACUAAUACGUGAGAUUAUAGAAAACUGCUAGUAACAUUGUAACCAAUUGAAUGCAAAAGAAACAAUUCAGUUGUCUUCUAUUUAAGUCAGACAUUUAGGGAAACAAUUGCCAAAAUGUAAAACAAUGCACCUAUUUUUUUAAAAAUAUGCAUUUGUUGCUAUAAUAUUUAAAUAUUUUACUUUCUAAUAUGGUAAGAUACUAGUAAAGUGAUUUGGGGCCCUCAAUCUUUAAGAAUGUGAAGGGAUUCUCUGAGGCCACAAAGUUUAAGAAAUGGCUACUCUAGCACAAACGCACAUAGUAAAUACUCAAGUACCUGUUGAAUGACUUCAUGGAGUUAAAGUGACUCCUGGUAUUAAAUCUGUAUGGCUGGGAUAAUGGGCAUGCUAGGACAGGAAGCAGAUUUCCUUAACUUCACCACUGUAACUCAUUAACAAACAUGUUAGCCUGAGACAGAAGUAUUAAGGGGCGACAGGAAAGCCUUUCAUAAGCAAUGUGAUGCUUUUUUUCACAUUAUUCAACAUGGUUUAAAAUUUGGUAUACAGGCCUAUGGUGUUUGUCCUGAACUUUUGCCAGAGUAGAAUGGUUCAUGUUUUUCCUCAUAGAUUUUCACUCCUCACUAAACUUCAUGACAUCUAACAUGAACUUAUUAGAAAAGGCUAUGCUUGAGAAUAAGGAUAUCUUUUUUCUAUGCCUAUGUUGUUAAUGAGUAUGAAGCACUUACAGGCUUUUAUGUACUUGAGGUUCCAAAGACAUUUCCAAAUUUUCCCAUUUUCAGUCUUCAACUUAACAUUUUGGUCCUUGCAGUGGAGACCUGAGUCCUAUCUGACAUUGGGACUACAGUUAGGGCAGAAUUUCCUAAACUGCCAUUUUUUAAAGAAAUAAGGGUAACCAAAUGUUCCCCUUAAAAGCACUCUGGUACCCUCUAGUAUUGGGAGAUAACUAUCUUCCCCUAAUUAGAUUUGUAAAAUCUUUCUCAAUAUUUAUUUACAUUUUUUUCCCCUCAAAUAUAUUGACUUUUUCAUUCCCAGUAACAAUAUGUCUGGUCUGUAACUAAGUCAUUCCAUGUUCAGAUUACAGAUUUAUUUCCCCAUCUUUUCACAUUCUUUUAGUCCAGGAGACCCACUUUGAAGGUUAAAACCAAGGUCACACAAUGAAUAGGUGGCAGUGUCACAUAUAACUCAGCUCCAGGCCUUAUGAAUCCUGCUUAUAGCCCACUGCCUAUUCUAGUCACCAGAUUGAAAAACACCAUACUAGGGAAGAAGACGGCAAACUAUUGCCCACUACAUAUUUGUAUCAGUCUUGUCAAAUUUUUAUUGUAGUAUGUAAUAGAAUUAAAGCUAUGAUGAAUCAAGUAAAAAAUGAUUUCCUUAAAAACUAAGCUAAUAGGCGAAAAUACUCGCUUGUUCAACAAAUACCCAGUCUGGCAGAUACAAUACCCUGCCCUUAGUGGGGGGUGGAGUGGGGGGUGGGGGGGUGGGGAAAGACAUCGUGGUGAAAACAGACAUGGUCCUUGAACUUCCUGGUUCUGUGGGUUGCUUAAUUUGAGGUUUAAAUGGUUUCUCCCAUCAGGUGAAAAGUUUUGUGUUCGGCCCAUAAACAAAGCAGCUGUGAAUUCUGAUAGUGGUAAAAAGGCCAGUCUAGGAUAUAAAACCUUCAUAAACAUCUUAUUUCCCAUUCAUUAUGAAGUGUGGGGUAGGAGAUCAGAGAAACCAGAUGAGGAUUGCUGGCUGUGCUGCUAAUGUGAACUCUUCUUUCAAAAGUAUUGUGUCCUUUUAUUCUCAAUGGAGACAUCAGAAAGUAUUAAGAGGAGUACUAUUAUAAUACUAAUAGGAUACUGAAAAUCUAUACUGAUUGCAGCCAGAGGCUCCAAAAUAAACAAUACUAUGAUGAGUUCCACAAAAAAACCUCAACUACUCUUUGUUCCAGGGAAGCACCAUUUUCCACAAAACUCUCAAGAAGGACUUGUUGCAACUGGAAAAGCAAUUAAAUGUGAAUCGUGAUCCAGGAGAAAGUAACAACUCACAUAACUCCCAAAUUAAAAGUUUUCCAAAGAUAUAUCAUUUUUUUUCUCUUGGCCUUUUAAGAAACUAGCCAACAAAUACUCUUGACAGGUUUGUGUUUGGUUUUGAAAACACACACCUUAGUGUACUGAAAGAAAAACAAUUUCUUUUAAUUUGGUUUGUUGGUCCCACACCCCAUCUAUCAAUGUAUGUGCUAUUUACAAAUAAGUUCUAUACAGUAUUUUUGCAGUACCUUUGAUAAUUCCUAGACCUCUAUUUUCAUUCUGUGUAUUAAUGUGAAUAACAGAUGGAUAUUUUAAUAUUUAAGGCAGAUGGUAAACUUUCCUAUAGGUCUUGUGAGACUUCGUCUUAUAGGCUGAACACCAUUCACAAAAUGUAAUAAUGCUUCAUUCCUUCAGGUUGAGGUAAAGAACUUGAGCAACUGGAUUAGCAAAGCUGCAAAGAAUGAAAUGUGGCCUAAGAUGUAAUUAUGUUCUCUGCCCUUCCUUUGGGCCAGGGUAGUUUUGCACUUGACACAAUGGAAAAUAGGCCAUAAAGCCUGAAAAUAAAAUGUUCUAAACCCCAAUCUCACAGCACUUUAGUAGGCUUUUCACUAGGCAUCUUUAAAGUAUUUUCAACAAAAUACUAAUUAAGCUACCACUUCAAAAGAGCUUCAAGGAAAAGCUCUGCUUUCUUAUAAAAUCUUUUUGAGACAGAGUUUCGCUCUUGUCGCACAGGCUGGAGUGCAAUGGCGUGAUCUCGACUCACCGCAACCUCCGCCUGCUGGGUUCAAGUGAUUCUCUAGCCUCAGCCUCCUGAGUAGUUGGGAUUACAGGCGCCCGCCACCACACCUGGCUAAUUUUUGUAUUUCUAGUAGAGACAGGGUUUCACCAUGUUGGCCAGGCUGGUCUCCGGACCUCAGGUGAUCUGCACACUUCGGCUUCCUAAACUGCUGGAAUUACAGUCGUGAGCCACUGUGCCUGGUCUCAUAAAACUUUUAAAUUCCAUCACAUUACAUUCACACCUUUUGCUAACCAGGAUGAAGAGCCUUAAACAGGUUUAAAGAGUGCAGACUGCAGUUUUGUUAAUACUUUUUUCCUCUCCAAGUUCUUUUAUGCUAACAUUUCCAGUGGUGGGAAGUACAAGUACUAUUAGUCAUCUUCAUUCUUUGCAUUGCCAAAGAGUUCCUCUUUCUCCGUCUUGUUCUGAAGGAUGAACAAAAGCUUGAGGUGUACGUAUCAGAACGUAAACUGCAGCACGAAGACCACCAACGUUCACCCAGACUGUAUCCACCUUUCGCCAUACGUGUCGCAUUCCAGAUAACGCCUGUGUACACACAAAAAAAAUAACAAUUAGGUUGACAAUCUACUUUUACAUCAACUAGGAUUCUUAACUGCCAAGAUAGGAAACCUCAGGGGAAGAGAAAACAAAUCUUAUCCAAACAAACAUCCCCAAAUCUCAAAAAGAUCCCAAAGUUGCCACAGGCUGCGAUUUUGAGCUAAUGUGUAUAGCACCUUGGUAAAGCAUUUUGUGUCUUGAGUAAGUAGUACAGCUCGGCCUGUGGUAGGUGUGCAGACACGGCUCAUCUCCCGUAGGCAAGCUGGAUAAAGGUUCCAGUUUCUCUUCUUGGAUCCCAUCCUAUAAUAGAAGGUCUCAUGAGUCAAACACUUGCAAAAGAUACAAAAUAGAAGGACUAUAUGAAACAAAAACAGUUUCAUGCAUCCUGAGGCAUGAAAAAUAGCUGUAGUUUUAGAAACCAGACCUUUGCCAUUACAUGUCUAUGAAAUAAGUUGAGUUAGUAAACUGCUUAGAAUUCUGAAUCAAAAAAAUUUUUUUUAGACAACUGUGUUAGUUAUAUGACUUGUCCUCUUAGUAUAAUAAGCAGUCAAACUGUAUAAACCAAACAAGUGAUUAGAAAUCAUUUAGGCCAGGUGUUUUGGUGGCUCAUGCCUGUAAUCCCAGCAGUUUGGGAGGCUGAGGCGGGCAGAUCACCUGAAGUCAGGAGUUUGAGACCAGCCUGGCCAAUAUGGUGAAACCCUGUCUUUUAAAAAUACAAAAAUAAGCUGGGCAUGAUGGCAUGUGCCUGAAAUCCGAGCUACUCAGGAGGGUGAGGCAGGAGAAUCGCUUGAACCCGGGAGGCAGAGGUUACAGUGAGCCGAGAUCAUACCACUGCACUCCAGCCUGGGCAACAGAGCAGGGCUCUGUCUCCAAAAAAAAAAAAAGAAUCAUUUAUGCUGAGAAACAGAAUGAGAACCAAGUCUUCUACCACCUUUUUGUGUAGGAUAUAUAAUUCAAGAAUGGGCUAGAAAGUGAAUUACAGGUAAUUUAAAAAUGAACCUCCCAUGAUGGUCAGGAUUCCAAAUGUAGUUAAUACAUUCCUGAGUUCUCGGAAGAAACAUAAUGGGUGAAUCCAUCAUGUUGUUAAGUGAAAAACAGCUCUGCUAAGUCUGCUAAAAUUCAAGAUUUUUUUCCUGACUUAGAAUAAACGCAAGGAAAAUAAUGACAUAUUUAGAAGACAAGCAGGUACUAGUAUUUCUCACCUUUUUCCAAAUGGCAAAUCUGUUACAAUAAUAUCCACAGAGCCAGUUCUCAAUGGCAGAUUGCAGAUAUCCCACUGAACAGCAUCUAUGGGCAAGCCCCAGGAGGGUUUGCUGUGGGGACAAAGGAAAGGUGCUUCAACAUACUGUGAAGCAUAAAGUUAUUACAACAAUUUUUGUUUCUGAAGAGAGACUGCUACAGCAAAACAUAAACUGCUAAGGAUAUCAGUGAUAAUAUCAACCUAUUCAAAAUUUAAGAAAUGGCACAAAGGUAAAAAAUAGGUCAGGCUGGGCAUGGUAGCUUGUGCCUAUAAUCAGCACUUUCAGGGGCUGAGGUGGGAGGAUCACUGGACUCCAGGAAUUUGAGACCAGCUGAGCAACACUGUGAGACCUUGUCUCUAAAAUACUUUUUUAAGAAGUUAGCAGGGCAUGAUGGCACACACCUAUAGUCCCAGCUACUCAGGAGGCUGAGGUGGGAGGAUCACUUGAGUCCAGGAGUUGAAAGAUGCAGUGAGCUAGGAUUGUGCCGCUUUACUCCAGCCUGGGUGACAGAGCAAGACCCCCGUCUCAGAAAAAAGGGAAACAAACUGAAAACAUGAUUGUAAUGCAGAGAACUGCAAAAGACAACUUUAAAAACAAUGCUGAAGCAGUAAAUUACAUAACCGAUGAUACAAAAAUUUAAGUUGCUGAUAAAACAUACACUGGAG